CACUAUCGUUAACUGAAUACAUAGGUUAACGAGGCGAACCGGGGGAACUGAAACAUCUAAGUACCCCGAGGAAAAGAAAUCAACCGAGAUUCCCCCAGUAGCGGCGAGCGAACGGGGAGCAGCCCAGAGUCUGAAUCAGCUUGUGUGUUAGUGGAACGGUCUGGAAAGUCCGACGGUACAGGGUGAUAGUCCCGUACACCAAAAUGCACAGGCUGUGAACUCGAAGAGUAGGGCGGGACACGUGGUAUCCUGUCUGAAUAUGGGGGGACCAUCCUCCAAGGCUAAAUACUCCUGACUGACCGAUAGUGAACCAGUACCGUGAGGGAAAGGCGAAAAGAACCCCGGCGAGGGGAGUGAAAAAGAACCUGAAACCGUGUACGUACAAGCAGUGGGAGCACCUUCGGGUGUGACUGCGUACCUUUUGUAUAAUGGGUCAGCGACUUAUAUUCUGUAGCAAGGUUAACCGUAUAGGGGAGCCGCAGGGAAACCGAGUCUUAACUGGGCGUUAAGUUGCAGGGUAUAGACCCGAAACCCGGUGAUCUAGCCAUGGGCAGGUUGAAGGUUGGGUAACACUAACUGGAGGACCGAACCGACUAAUGUUGAAAAAUUAGCGGAUGACUUGUGGCUGGGGGUGAAAGGCCAAUCAAACCGGGAGAUAGCUGGUUCUCCCCGAAAGCUAUUUAGGUAGCGCCUCGUGAACUCAUCUUCGGGGGUAGAGCACUGUUUCGGCUAGGGGGUCAUCCCGACUUACCAACCCGAUGCAAACUACGAAUACCGAAGAAUGUUAUCACGGGAGACACACGGCGGGUGCUAACGUCCGUCGUGAAGAGGGAAACAACCCAGACCGCCAGCUAAGGUCCCAAAGUCAUGGUUAAGUGGGAAACGAUGUGGGAAGGCACAGACAGCCAGGAUGUUGGCUUAGAAGCAGCCAUCAUUUAAAGAAAGCGUAAUAGCUCACUGGUCGAGUCGGCCUGCGCGGAAGAUGUAACGGGGCUAAACCAUGCACCGAAGCUGCGGCAGCGACACUAUGUGUUGUUGGGUAGGGGAGCGUUCUGUAAGCCUGCGAAGGUGUGCUGUGAGGCAUGCUGGAGGUAUCAGAAGUGCGAAUGCUGACAUAAGUAACGAUAAAGCGGGUGAAAAGCCCGCUCGCCGGAAGACCAAGGGUUCCUGUCCAACGUUAAUCGGGGCAGGGUGAGUCGACCCCUAAGGCGAGGCCGAAAGGCGUAGUCGAUGGGAAACAGGUUAAUAUUCCUGUACUUGGUGUUACUGCGAAGGGGGGACGGAGAAGGCUAUGUUAGCCGGGCGACGGUUGUCCCGGUUUAAGCAUGUAGGCUGGUUGUCCAGGCAAAUCCGGAUAAUCAAGGCUGAGGUGUGAUGACGAGGCACUACGGUGCUGAAGUAACAAAUGCCCUGCUUCCAGGAAAAGCCUCUAAGCAUCAGGUAACAUUAAAUCGUACCCCAAACCGACACAGGUGGUCAGGUAGAGAAUACCAAGGCGCUUGAGAGAACUCGGGUGAAGGAACUAGGCAAAAUGGUGCCGUAACUUCGGGAGAAGGCACGCUGGUGUGUAGGUGAAGUCCCUGCGGAUGGAGCUGAGACCAGUCGAAGAUACCAGCUGGCUGCAACUGUUUAUUAAAAACACAGCACUGUGCAAACACGAAAGUGGACGUAUACGGUGUGACGCCUGCCCGGUGCCGGAAGGUUAAUUGAUGGGGUUAUCCGUAAGGAGAAGCUCUUGAUCGAAGCCCCGGUAAACGGCGGCCGUAACUAUAACGGUCCUAAGGUAGCGAAAUUCCUUGUCGGGUAAGUUCCGACCUGCACGAAUGGCGUAAUGAUGGCCAGGCUGUCUCCACCCGAGACUCAGUGAAAUUGAACUCGCUGUGAAGAUGCAGUGUACCCGCGGCAAGACGGAAAGACCCCGUGAACCUUUACUAUAGCUUGACACUGAACAUUGAGCCUUGAUGUGUAGGAUAGGUGGGAGGCUUUGAAGCGUGGACGCCAGUCUGCGUGGAGCCAACCUUGAAAUACCACCCUUUAAUGUUUGAUGUUCUAACGUUGGCCCCUUACCGGGGUUGCGGACAGUGUCUGGUGGGUAGUUUGACUGGGGCGGUCUCCUCCCAAAGCGUAACGGAGGAGCACGAAGGUUAGCUAAUCCUGGUCGGACAUCAGGAGGUUAGUGCAAUGGCAUAAGCUAGCUUGACUGCGAGCGUGACGGCGCGAGCAGGUGCGAAAGCAGGUCAUAGUGAUCCGGUGGUUCUGAAUGGAAGGGCCAUCGCUCAACGGAUAAAAGGUACUCCGGGGAUAACAGGCUGAUACCGCCCAAGAGUUCAUAUCGACGGCGGUGUUUGGCACCUCGAUGUCGGCUCAUCACAUCCUGGGGCUGAAGUAGGUCCCAAGGGUAUGGCUGUUCGCCAUUUAAAGUGGUACGCGAGCUGGGUUUAGAACGUCGUGAGACAGUUCGGUCCCUAUCUGCCGUGGGCGCUGGAGAAUUGAGGGGGGCUGCUCCUAGUACGAGAGGACCGGAGUGGACGCAUCACUGGUGUUCGGGUUGUCAUGCCAAUGGCACUGCCCGGUAGCUAAAUGCGGAAGAGAUAAGUGCUGAAAGCAUCUAAGCACGAAACUUGCCCCGAGAUGAGUUCUCCCUGAGACUUUAAGUCUCCUGAAGGAACGUUAAAGACGAUGACGUUGAUAGGCCGGGUGUGUAAGCGCAGCGAUGCGUUGAGCUAACCGGUACUAAUGAACCGUGAGGCUUAACCUU
rnacentral:rRNA from 1 species